AACAUUGUGAUCACUUCGAUCCUGACAGCUUAGCGAAUUAUCUGCAUUAAUUUCCGCAACACUGUGCGUUGUAUCCAGCACACAAUGCGAAGCUGAGCCAAACCAAUCCACUGACGAUGGUGGCAUGGCGCGUUGGUUGGCGCCGUUGUUUUAGGUUGUUUAGAGCCACGGAGGAAGGAAAGAACUGUGGUUUAGAGGUUUAGAGCACAGUGCUCGGUGCCUGGGGAUUCGUAGAUUGUUCUGCGGGCUUGAGCCUAUUGACCGGCUCAAUAGAACAUAUUUGCAUUUGCUAAAGUUCCAGCUUAGUGUUUCCGAAGUGACGGCAGGGUAGUUGUGGUCGAUCGGAGUUAUUUGCUGUUUCACCCUUCGACGGCUCCACGUUCGCUGCGCCUCAUCAACAGGCUCAUACUUGGCGAAGUGGUGUAGCUGCUUCAAGACUACACGGGCGAAAAAAAGAAAAGGCCCAAUGGUAGCGGGUAGCUGCUGCCGAAUGGCGACCUUUCUGAGCGGACCUACCAAGCACUUUCGGAUCGGCAAGUAUGCCACCUGGAUGACCACAGGAACUUUUAAAUAUAUGUGGCCUAGGGUGUCCUAGAGACUGAUUUGGGGCUGCAUAUUCUUGCUUCGGCAUGACAGACGAAACGUCAUGGUGGCUGACACGUUGGGCUACGCAUCAUCGUGUAUGGGAGUUUCCGUAAUGAGUGGCUAGACUUUUCAAGUUCCCAUUGUCCAGUGAAGCUUUUGA